rnacentral:rRNA from 1 species
CGUAGGUGGCAAGCGUUGUCCGGAUUUAUUGGGUUUAAAGGGUGCGUAGGCGGUCUUGUAAGUCAGUGGUGAAAUACGGCAGCUUAGCUGUCGAGGUGCCAUUGAUACUGCAGGACUUGAGUACAGACGAGGUAGGCGGAAUUGACGGUGUAGCGGUGAAAUGCUUAGAUAUCGUCAAGAACACCGAUAGCGAAGGCAGCUUACUAGACUGUAACUGACGCUGAUGCACGAAAGUGUGGGGAUCAAACAGGAUUAGAUACCCUGGUAGUCCACACUGUAAACGAUGAUUACUCGAUGUUGGCGAUACACAGCCAGCGUCUUAGCGAAAGCGAUAAGUAAUCCACCUGGGGAGUACGCCGGCAACGGUG